AUUGAAAGAACUAACCGCAGAAAAGGCUGCUGCCCUUCAAACUGUGUACUGUUGUCCAAGCUAGUUCAGAAGAAUACACGAGCUUCCUUCACAUACUCCAAUCUGUUGGUUUGACUUCUGAAGAACCAGCAGAGCUGGAAAGGCCUCGAGAUCUCUGUCCUGAUGCUGGCCUGGGGCUCCCCUAGGUCUAGCCUGAAAGUGUCCCAUUCACCACCAGUCUUCUACAAUGUUAUCCGGAAUGGAAUGAAGUACUACACCCACAAGUCCUGAAGGUACUGACCAAAACAGGAGGGAGAGACGGGACCGGGGCUGCUGUGACUGGAGGCUGAUGGGGCUCUACUGUGCCCCAUCCUCUCAUCCCACAGUCUUCCUUCACAUCUGCUCUGCCCACCACAGCCCUGCUCUGCUCUGCCCCUUCUGCCAUCGCCACCUACGCAGAUGGGUUUCAUCCAGCCUCCAGGACGACCCACCCACUUGCUCCUGCAGCAGGCUGCUCUUCCCAGGUGCACAGCCCAGAGAAUUAAGUGCAUAUAUUUACCAGAAGACAUGACCAAAGCCAUUCCUGGGGUUGCCUUCAUGUAGCCAACACCUGGAACUAACACCAAAGUUCAUUAGGCACAAAAUAAAAGAGUUAUCUGGAA
rnacentral:antisense_RNA from 1 species